rnacentral:lncRNA from 1 species
UGGUUCCAGUGUGGAUGUGGCUCUAUUUCCCUGAAUAAUUUACCACUAGGACUUUGUACAAAAUGCUUUCCCAUCUUUCUACAGACUCAUGCUCCCAUUUUGGUUCCCAAUGUUCUAGUAGCUUGUGAACUAGAGGAGGCAAACGCUAGUGACCUCCUUGAAGGACUACACAGACAAGCUGAGGAGCUAGGACGUGAUCUACUGAAGGGAGAGGGCAGUGCAAAGGUGGCAGACUCUGUUUGCUGUUGACUAUCCAGUGUCUCAAACUGGGGUCUCUGAAGAUGAUGCCCACGGUAUUAGUACACUUACAGCUUCCUUGAGCUAAUAUUAGCAUGGCACCAUUCACCCUUUCAGUUCAAACACCCUCCUAAAUACAAAACAGACAAAAAAAAAAA